rnacentral:rRNA from 1 species
UACGGGGGGAGCGAGCGUUGUUCGGAAUCACUGGGCGUAAAGGGUGCGCAGGCGGGAGAAUAGGUCGGAUGUGAAAACCUCGGGCUCAACCCGAGGCCGGCAUUUGAAACCAUUCUUCUUGAGUAUCGGAGAGGGAAGCGGAACUCCAGGUGUAGCGGUGAAAUGCGUAGAUAUCUGGAGGAACACCGGUGGCGAAGGCGGCUUCCUGGACGAAUACUGACGCUCAUGCACGAAGGCUAGGGGAGCAAACAGG